rnacentral:rRNA from 1 species
GACGAACGCUGGCGGCGUGCCUAACACAUGCAAGUCGAACGGAAGGGCGCUGCGUUUGUGGGGUGCUCGAGUGGCGAACGGGUGAGUAAAACACGAGUAAACUGCACUUGUCUGUGGGAUAACUUCAGGAAACUGGGGAUAAUACAGGAUAGAAGCUCCUGAAGCAUGGUGGGGAUUGGAGAGUGUCGGCGGUUGUGGAUGGAUUCGCGGCUUAUGAGCUAGAUGGUGGGGUAGUGGAGGACCAGGCCUUUGACGGAUAGGCGGCCUUAGAGGUUGACCGGGGACAUGGGGACUGAGAGACGGCCCAGACUCCUACGGGAGGCAGCAGUGGGGAAUAUUGCACAAUGGGCGGAAGCCUGAUGCAGCGACGUCGCGUGCGGGAUGACCUCCUUCGGGUUGUAAACCGCUUUCGCCUGUGACGAAGCGUGAGUGACGGUAAUGGGUAAAGAAGCACCGGCUAACUACGUG